rnacentral:rRNA from 1 species
GCCUACGGGGGGCAGCAGUGGGGAAUAUUGCACAAUGGGCGAAAGCCUGAUGCAGCAACGCCGCGUGAAGGAAGAAGGGUUUCGGCUCGUAAACUUCUAUCCACAGGGACGAAAGAAAUGACGGUACCUGAAUAAGAAGCCCCGGCUAACUACGUGCCAGCAGCCGCGGUAAUACGGAGGGGGGAAGCGGUAUCCGGAAUUACUGGGUGGAAAGGGGGAGUAGGCGGGAUGGUAAGCCAGAUGGGAAAGCCUUGGGGUUAACCCAAGGAUUGCAUUUGGAACUAUCAAGCUAGAGUA